rnacentral:rRNA from 1 species
GACGAACGCUGGCGGCGUGCUUAACACAUGCAAGUCGAACGGAAAGGCCCUGCUUUUGUGGGGUGCUCGAGUGGCGAACGGGUGAGUAACACGUGAGUAACCUGCCCUUGACUUUGGGAUAACUUCAGGAAACUGGGGCUAAUACCGGAUAGGAGCUCCUGCUGCAUGGUGGGGGUGGGAAAGUUUGGGCGGUUGGGGAUGGACUCGCGGCUUAUCAGCUUGUUGGUGGGGUAGUGGCUUACCAAGGCUUUGACGGGUAGCCGGCCUGAGAGGGUGACCGGCCACAUUGGGACUGAGAUACGGCCCAGACUCCUACGGGAGGCAGCAGUGGGGAAUAUUGCACAAUGGGCGGAAGCCUGAUGCAGCAACGCCGCGUGCGGGAUGACGGCCUUCGGGUUGUAAACCGCUUUCGCCUGUGACGAAGCGUGAGUGACGGUAAUGGGUAAAGAAGCACCGGCUAACUACGUG